CGGUGCUGAAGCAACAAAUGCCCUGCUUCCAGGAAAAGCCUCUAAGCAUCAGGUAACAUCAAAUCGUACCCCAAACCGACACAGGUGGUCAGGUAGAGAAUACCAAGGCGCUUGAGAGAACUCGGGUGAAGGAACUAGGCAAAAUGGUGCCGUAACUUCGGGAGAAGGCACGCUGAUAUGUAGGUGAAGUCCCUCGCGGAUGGAGCUGAAAUCAGUCGAAGAUACCAGCUGGCUGCAACUGUUUAUUAAAAACACAGCACUGUGCAAACACGAAAGUGGACGUAUACGGUGUGACGCCUGCCCGGUGCCGGAAGGUUAAUUGAUGGGGUUAGCGCAAGCGAAGCUCUUGAUCGAAGCCCCGGUAAACGGCGGCCGUAACUAUAACGGUCCUAAGGUAGCGAAAUUCCUUGUCGGGUAAGUUCCGACCUGCACGAAUGGCGUAAUGAUGGCCAGGCUGUCUCCACCCGAGACUCAGUGAAAUUGAACUCGCUGUGAAGAUGCAGUGUACCCGCGGCAAGACGGAAAGACCCCGUGAACCUUUACUAUAGCUUGACACUGAACAUUGAGCCUUGAUGUGUAGGAUAGGUGGGAGGCUUUGAAGUGUGGACGCCAGUCUGCAUGGAGCCGACCUUGAAAUACCACCCUUUAAUGUUUGAUGUUCUAACGUUGACCCGUAAUCCGGGUUGCGGACAGUGUCUGGUGGGUAGUUUGACUGGGGCGGUCUCCUCCUAAAGAGUAACGGAGGAGCACGAAGGUUGGCUAAUCCUGGUCGGACAUCAGGAGGUUAGUGCAAUGGCAUAAGCCAGCUUGACUGCGAGCGUGACGGCGCGAGCAGGUGCGAAAGCAGGUCAUAGUGAUCCGGUGGUUCUGAAUGGAAGGGCCAUCGCUCAACGGAUAAAAGGUACUCCGGGGAUAACAGGCUGAUACCGCCCAAGAGUUCAUAUCGACGGCGGUGUUUGGCACCUCGAUGUCGGCUCAUCACAUCCUGGGGCUGAAGUAGGUCCCAAGGGUAUGGCUGUUCGCCAUUUAAAGUGGUACGCGAGCUGGGUUUAGAACGUCGUGAGACAGUUCGGUCCCUAUCUGCCGUGGGCGCUGGAGAACUGAGGGGGGCUGCUCCUAGUACGAGAGGACCGGAGUGGACGCAUCACUGGUGUUCGGGUUGUCAUGCCAAUGGCACUGCCCGGUAGCUAAAUGCGGAAGAGAUAAGUGCUGAAAGCAUCUAAGCACGAAACUUGCCCCGAGAUGAGUUCUCCCUGACUCCUUGAGAGUCCUGAAGGAACGUUGAAGACGACGACGUUGAUAGGCCGGGUGUGUAAGCGCAGCGAUGCGUUGAGCUAACCGGUACUAAUGAACCGUGAGGCUUAACCUU
rnacentral:rRNA from 1 species